ensembl:miRNA
AUGCUGACCGGGUGGUCGAGGCACGAUGUGCUGCGAGUGCGGUGUUCCCCCUGGCUCUAGUGGGCCUCGACCUCCCAGUCAGCUUCG